GGGAGGAAGAGUCCCAUUUUACAUGUGAAGAAACAGAAAAAAAGGGAUUAAGUCAGAAGUAAUUCUGAGGAUUACACAACUAUUCAGUAUCUGAAGUCAGACUUGAACUCAGGUCUUCAGAAUUCCAGGCCCAAUAUUCUAUCCAUUGUGCCACUUAUUUAUCUCUCAGUAUCAGGGAGAAUCAAGGAAAUGUGCUUCAUGAAGGUGAUGAUAUCUGAACUGAGUUUUAAAUAUACAGAUCCCAAGCACUGGAGAUGAGGAGAGCCUAGAGAGUGGAACCGACUUGGGCAAUGACUCAGGACCUCAGCCUUCUAGGGAGAAAAGUUUCAGAGCCACCCCAGCCUCUUGAGCACAAGAUGAUUGAGCAGCAUUCUCACUUCCAUCUAUGAUUGAACCCAGGCCUUGCAGGCACAAAGACCAAAGUCCUAGGUCACAUGCAAUUCAGAGAGUUUGCCAGCUAAUAAGCAUCAGAAUUAGGACUCAAAGCCAAUACUCUUUCAUUGAAAGUCUAAUGAUCUCUUUAAAUCCAAGGAAAUGGGAAAAAAUAAUCAUAGCCAUUAUCCUACACCAUCUAGAGGUUUCUAGAGGCAGCCUCAUCAACACACAUUUUACUCAUGUUGGUGCCUCCUCAUUAGCUUUCAUAAUGAAUCCAGAUUCCCAGUCCUGUGCUUCAAGGCCUGCUACCACUUGUCUCUACCACUUCUGACAUUAGACAUGAAUAAGUAAAGCGAAUAAGUAAAGGAAUCCUCCAGCUCGAGAUUCUUAUUUUGCAGAUGAAGAAGCUAUGGUCAAGAAAGGAGAAAUGGGUGUUCAAGGUCACACAAUCACUUUAACAAAUGAAAGGGACAUCUUUGAAUGAUCCAGGAGCCCACUUCAUGAAGUUCCCUUCACCUAGCUCCCCCUGACCCUGAGAAUGAGCCCUCUGGGGAGACUCCAGGAAGACAGCCUGAUGACCCCCCCGCCCCUCAUAACAGAAGCCAGUAAAACCGGUUUUCCAGGGCCUGUGAUUAUGGUUGCCUAGUUUCUCUCCCCAUUGCCCAGUUAAAGCAAAUCAUUUGUGGUUCUCAGUAGUUGCUGUCAGACCAUUCCCUACUGCUGUUUAUCCAUCCCACAGAGGAGAGGCUCUUUGAAGCCAGAGACUAUGCCUUCUUUAGCCUAAUCUUACAAAUAUACUAAGUAUCCACAAUUAUCAAGGUAACUAAAUAAAUUGUAACAAAAUUAUUGGAAAGAUGGAUUACUUAGGGGUCUGCCAAUUCAGCAGUCAUUUUAUAAUCACGAUCAUUGUAAAGACCUCAUAUCCAUAAUAACAAGCACUUUAACUGAAAUAUUUUAGUACCUUUUUUUGAUGCUCUUUUUAAAGCACAGCUGCCUAUUCCCAAUAACUUCCCCUAAAACCAUAUCUUGUAUUAAAGAAGUACAUUUGAACAAGCAAACAAAAAACAGCAAUACAAUAUGCCAUAUUCUGUACUCAUAGUCAUCCACAUUUCUACCGAGAGAGGAAGCAUGCUUCAUUCCCAGUUCUCAGAAGUCAUUGUGGUUCAUUGUAUUAAUUAGAAUUCUGAAUUCUUUCAAUAUUGUUUCCUUUAUUUUAAUGUGUUCAUUAGAUAUAUUCUGCUUAUGUUGUUCUGCAUCAGUUCAUAAAAAUGUAGUCAAGUUUCUAUGAUUUCUACAUAUUCAUUGAUUUUUUUGGUAUAAUAAUAUUCCAUUCCAUUCCCUUAAUAUUCCAUAACCCCAACCCAAUCUGAACUCUAUAAUGUGUACAUUUUUGUUCAUAUACCUCAAUUUGAUCAUCCAUUCCCCAAUGGAUGGAUACCCACUUCACUUCAAGUUAUUACUACUAUGAAAAAGCACUGAUAUAAAUAUUUUUAUAUAUUUGGUAUCUUUCUCACUACUUCUUGGGGUUUAUGCCUAAUGAUUAUAUCAUUGGGAAGAAUCAUUAAACUUUUUUGAAGAUAUCUGGUAAGUCCUUUGGGAAUUUUGUUCACUGCUGUGAUUCAGGAAUUAUAGAAUACAAAAAAAGCUAAUGAAAUAGACCAAGUUCAGUACUAGAAAACCUGUGGUUUUUUCAUCAGGAUGGAAACUUCCUCCACUAAGGCAGAUUUCAGUUUAUGACUUAUUAGUAAGUCAGGGGGUUGCCUGAGACUUUAGCAGUUAAGUGACUUGCCCAUAGUCAUUCAGUUAAUAUUGGUCAGAAGCAAGACUUGAAUUCAGAUCUUCUUAACCCUAAGUCCCUCACUCCAUCUACCCAACCACAAUGACUUUCAACUAAUGGGGGGAGAGGGAUAAGGUAAUUCAUUGGGUUUGAUGAUAUUUAGAUUAUAUCCUGAAAAGAUGUUCAGGAACAAAAGAAAGAGCACUGGGUUUAGAGUAAGAUUCUCACUUCAGUAUGUGAACUGAAGCAGAUUCACAUCUUUGCCAUGUAUUUAUUGGCAGUGUGAGUUUAUGCCAUUACUCUUAUCUCCCACUUCAUGCUUCUCCAACCAAUCUCAGUUCCCUCAUUUGUAAAACAAAAGAAAAUGUAUAAAUUUUUUCCUGAGGUCCUUCCUAGUUCUUAAUCCUAUGAUCCUAAGGGUUGCUAUUGCCACAGUUUUGCUUGAAGAAAGGUGUGUUAUGUUAUAAAGUUGGAUUAUUUGAUCCAAAUUUUCAGAGAUAAACACGUGAUGAAUGACAAUAAGGAAGGGAAUUUGGUUCACUUGUUCUAUUUAUAUUAUCAAUAGUUGUAUUUACAUCUAUGAAGUAUUUGUUCUUGAUUUCUUUUUAUGUUUUCACCUCCCAAUGUUUUCAUUCCAUUUAGUGUAUAGUUUUAUGUUAAAUUAUAGAAUACAAGGAAAAUUCCAUUUCCAAGAAGUAUGCAAAUGAGUGUUUGGCAGUGCAACUAGGUUAUGCCAUAUCACAAUGUUAUUAAAUAAUAAUUCUCAAGCCAACAAUGCUUACCGAGUACACCCCAUGUCCUCAGCACCAGGUAAGAAUCUGGUCCUAGGCCUUGGGAAUGACUGUGUAAAUGGUGGCAAUCUCCACUUGUAUUUCCUGAGCUGUGUAGUCUAUUUGAGACCUACAAACAUGGAGUCAUUGGGCAGCAAACUGUUCAUUGGUAUACAAUGUUUUCUAAUAGUCCGUAUUUUGGCUACAGUGAAUUCUUGGUGGUUAAGAGAUUUUAUGGUAAUAUGACACCUCAGGACUAGUUACCCCAGUUCUGAGUACCUUUACUUUACUAAACUUUUCAUGUUUUUAUUGACUUAAGAAUAAACUGCUUAAUUGAGUUAGAUAUGUAAAGAUAGUCCAUUUGGUCUGCCUUUAGGGAAGAGUAAACAAAGACCAAACAGAUGCACAAAGGCUAUGUUAAAGGACUCCCUGGCACUUUGAAGCAACUCAGUUGCACAGUAGUUCUAUGUUUAUAAAUCUUGAGCAGAUCACACUGCACAGCAUAAGUAAGAGAGGGGAUUGCCAGCCCUCACAGUCAUUCCCCAAAGGUUGGGUCCACUGUUCUAUUCCCUCCCCCCCCCACCAUACCUUUUUGUUUCUGCUUCUGGAAAGACAGCAUGAUUACAAGGAGAGACCCCUGGACUUGGAUUGGGAAUGAAUGACUCAGUUCAAGUCUUGGCCCCCAGUGCUUGCUAGUUUUGUGGCUUGAGAAAAUUAUUUAACAUAUCUGGGCCUUGGUUUCUUUUUUGUAAAAUGCGAAUGAUAAUGAUAUUUGUACUCCCUGGCUUAGAGUAAAGCCAAGCAUUUUAAUGUCAGAGACUGAGCCUGGAGUCCUUCAAGCAGAUAAGGGAGGCCCCAGGAAGAUUAGACACACAGCAGGUGCCUGGGAUAUGAAGGUACUCUUACUAUCACUGGCUGAUUCUCCUGGGUAUUUGCUUGCCCUAAUCUCUGCACUGCUUGCCCCCAAAGCCCUAAACUGAUAAGUAAAGUGUUACUCCCAUGGCUAGUUACCCAAACAUAAAUAUAGAACACAAAACAAACCCCAAGGCAUUCUUUUGAAUCAAGGUACAGCUUUAGGAGCUACAGAGAAUGUACACAUGAGAAUGAAAACCCUCAGAAAUUAGUAGGACAUUAGUUUACUUCUCUCAAGAUCCCUUCAUAUUCUCAGAAGACUCAUUUUUGUGUGCUCUUAGUGGUUUCAUCUGUUGCAGAAUAGUGUUUAAAUAGCCUAUCUUUAAAUACUUUAUAGUUAAUUACUUUUGUCUCCAUUCCCAUCCUUAGCUCUUCCAUUUCUUCACACCUCUCCCCUUUACUAUUCUACCCCUAAUGCAAAAGUGUUUUUAGAUAUUCCUCCUUUACUGCCACCAACAUGUGCCUACUUUUAGAAUUCUAGAAAACUAUGUUGUCAUUAUGAUUGUAAUGAUCCUCCCCCUAUUUCCAUCUUUUCUACAGGAUGAUGGUGCUACCCCAUGCUCAGUAGGGAUUAAUGAUCAGACCUGAGGUUUCAUUGAUAUGAAGAAUCUUUAGAUGAGGAAAUUCUCUCUACCAGGAUAGGUCAGCACCAUUUCUGCAAUUUAGAAUCUUGGAGAGUGUUGACUACAUCUCUAAGAGGCUUAGUAACUGGCCCACAAUAGCGUUUGUCAGAGGAAGAAUGUUAACCCAGGUUUUCCUCAUGUCAAAGUCAUCUCUAUUCAUUGACAUUUUGCCUCUCUGGAUACAAGCUGACGCUACAGAUCUUCCUCCAGGAGGGCAUGCUUUAGGGUUGUGUCUCCUGCUAACUCUCUGGUUGUUUUCUACUCUUUCUUCACAGGCAGUCCUUUGCGACCAAAGGCAUGUACUCAGUGCACAUCUGACUCAAAAGAAGGAUACAGUUUGCUGUCAGUAAAUAAAUAGUUCUUCCUUACCAAAUGAUCUAGCAGUUGGACCAGUGACAUUCAGCUUAUCAGCACCAUUCUUAAAUUAGCUCAUUUUUUACAGAUAAGGAAACUGGGGCAAGCAGGAUUAAAUUAUUUGCCCAAGGCCAUAUGGGCAGAUAGUGGCUUAGGUCACAUUUGAAUUCAACACUUCCUGACUCUACUCCACUCCUGAUAUCUACUGUGCUAUCUACCUGCCUUUUUACCGUGUAAAUACAACAAAAAGAAUAUUUUCCAAAUUGUUGCGUUUCUUGUGAUGAAUGCAUUUCUUUAUGUUAUAAAAUACUUUUAUUUUUAUGCAAUUAAAUCUAUCUUGAAUACAAUAAACUUCUCCAUUUACCAACAAGAUGUUGAACAUUCUUCAGUGCACAACUGAUAAAUAUGCUGUCUGCCUUUGUACAUUCCUUUUUUUUCCUUUCUUUCUUUUCUUUUCUUUUCUUUUUUUUUUACAUUUAGGCCAUUGAGACUAUUCAGUAUAGUAUGUGACAGAAGGUAUGGAUCAAAAUUCAUUUUUUAUUGUAAUAAUACCAUCCCACUUAAUUUUCUUAUUAAUGAUUCCUUUCUUCAUUUUUUUGUAACCUUGUUUCUCUAACACUAAUUUCUUACAUGCUUUGAUUCUAUUAGUGACAAUUAAUUUUCUUUGACAAUUGAAAUAAAGAUUUCAUUUCUCCUUCA